rnacentral:rRNA from 1 species
UACAGAGGUCUCAAGCGUUGUUCGGAUUCAUUGGGCGUAAAGGGUGCGUAGGCGGCGCGGUGAAGUCGGGUGUGAAAUCUCGGAGCUUAACUCCGAAACUGCAUUCGAUACUGCCGUGCUUGAGGACUGGGGAGGAGACUGGAAUUUACGGUGUAGCGGUGAAAUGCGUAGAUAUCGUAAGGAAGACCAGUGGCGAAGGCGGGUCUCUGGACAGUUCCUGACGCUGAGGCACGAAGGCCAGGGGAGCAAACGGG